GGUGAAGAACCAAACCCAUCUGAUACCGAAUAGAUCAGGACAGGCUUCCCGCCCCGGAUGUGAAGGGGGAAUUCUGCUGCCGGGAAGCGGUGUUACUACAUGCUUCCCUUGGCAACUCAGCCGCUGAACACACUCCUUCCUACCUCUCCUGGGUCCCGCUAGACCUGCUGCUCAAGUCUAACAAUACAGUAAGCUGAGAACUUACGUUGUCCUCGUUACCGGGCUUGAUCUCCGCAGUCAUCAUCUCGUCGAAUUCUAGCUGAGGUGGCAGGAUCAAUCACACAUCCCCGCUCAUGAUUAAUCUCUCAGAGGCGAAGCUCCUCCUUGGGAUGGAUUGCUGUAGCUGAGUGCAGCCUUCUUGGGGGAGAGGUGGGAGGCAAAUAAAGGCCGAGAGCAGAAUAAGCGGCACCCGGCGUCUGAGAAGAGGCUGCUCGGUGCCACGGGCUGCAGGAAGCUUCUCUGAGGUGAUGAUUCACUGUCAAAAAAUUCACUUUUGCCAUAAAGACUUAGCAUCGUAGAGGGAGUUUAUAGUUUCUCCUUUCCUACCACUGUGUGAACUGGGUGCUUAGAUGUGUGUUUCCUGUUCUUUUUUAGCCAAAUCCAAGUUGGCUCAUUCCUGCCUCUUGGGUGGUUCUAGGGUCGCCCUCAGCACUCACAUCCUGUCAGAAGGAUAGAAGAAUGUACUUGGGUUUCUUUACUCAAAAGGUUUUCACUGUGAUGGUUUCAUACAACUGACAGAAACCUGCUUUUGACUUUGCGCUCAGGACACUGCUUUUCUCAUUCUUCACUGAAUUCGAAAACACUUUAGGGUUAAUUAAAAACAAAUUGUGAGGACUUCCCUGGUGGUCCGGCGGUUAGGACUCCACACUUCUGCUGUGGGAGCCUGGGUUCAAUUCCUGGUUGGGGAAUUAAGAUCCCAUGCGCUGCACAGCAUGGCCAGAAAGAAAGAAAGAAAUACUGUGGUCAUCUCAGCUGCUAGGUUUGGUUGAAGGGCUGUGUUUGGCGGGGGUAGGGGGGUGGGGUGGUGAUAAUCGUUGGGUGACAAUCCCAUAGGCCUUCUUCAGAGCAGGCUAAGCCUUCUUG
ensembl:lncRNA